CCUACGGGAGGCAGCAGUAGGGAAUCUUCCACAAUGGACGAAAGUCUGAUGGAGCAACGCCGCGUGAGUGAAGAAGGUUUUCGGAUCGUAAAACUCUGUUGUAAGGGAAGAACAAGUGCAGUAGUAACUGGCUGCACCUUGACGGUACCUUAUUAGAAAGCCACGGCUAACUACGUGCCAGCAGCCGCGGUAAUACGUAGGUGGCAAGCGUUGUCCGGAUUUAUUGGGCGUAAAGCGCGCGCAGGCGGUUUCUUAAGUCUGAUGUGAAAGCCCCCGGCUUAACCGGGGAGGGUCAUUGGAAACUGGGAGACUUGAGUGCAGAAGAGGAAAGUGGAAUUCCAAGUGUAGCGGUGAAAUGCGUAGAGAUUUGGAGGAACACCAGUGGCGAAGGCGACUUUCUGGUCUGUAACUGACGCUGAGGCGCGAAAGCGUGGGGAGCA
rnacentral:rRNA from 1 species